AAGCACCGGCUAACUACGUGCCAGCAGCCGCGGUAAUACGUAGGGUGCGAGCGUUAAUCGGAAUUACUGGGCGUAAAGCGGGCGCAGACGGUUACUUAAGCAGGAUGUGAAAUCCCCGGGCUUAACCUGGGAACUGCGUUCUGAACUGGGUGGCUAGAGUAUGUCAGAGGGGGGUAGAAUUCCACGUGUAGCAGUGAAAUGCGUAGAGAUGUGGAGGAAUACCGAUGGCGAAGGCAGCCUCCUGGGAUAACACUGACGUUCAUGCCCGAAAGCGUGGGUAGCAAACAGGAUUAGAUACCCUGGUAGUCCACGCCCUAAACGAUGUCGAUUAGCUGUUGGGCAGCUUGACUGCUUAGUAGCGUAGCUAACGCGUGAAAUCGACCGCCUGGGGAGUACGGUCGCAAGAUUAAAACUCAAAGGAAUUGACGGGGACCCGCACAAGCGGUGGAUGAUGUGGAUUAAUUCGAUGCAACGCGAAAAACCUUACCUACGCUUGACAUGUCCGGAACCCUGAAGAGAUUUGGGGGUGCUCGAAAGAGAGCCGGAACACAGGUGCUGCAUGGCUGUCGUCAGCUCGUGUCGUGAGAUGUUGGGUUAAGUCCCGCAACGAGCGCAACCCUUGUCAUUAGUUGCCAUCAUUAAGUUGGGCACUCUAAUGAGACUGCCGGUGACAAACCGGAGGAAGGUGGGGAUGACGUCAAGUCCUCAUGGCCCUUAUGACCAGGGCUUCACACGUCAUACAAUGGUCGGUACAGAGGGUAGCCAAGCCGCGAGGUGGAGCCAAUCUCACAAAACCGAUCGUAGUCCGGAUUGCACUCUGCAACUCGAGUGCAUGAAGUCGGAAUCGCUAGUAAUCGCAGGUCAGCAUACUGCGGUGAAUACGUUCCCGGGUCUUGUACACACCGCCCGUCACACCAUGGGAGUGGGGGAUACCAGAAGUAGGUAGGGUAACCGCAAGGAGCCCGCUUACCACGGUAUGCUUCAUGACUGGGGUGAAGUCGUAACAAGGUAGCCGUAGGGGAACCUGCGGCUG
rnacentral:rRNA from 1 species